rnacentral:rRNA from 1 species
ACAACUCGUAACGGUGGAUGUCUCGGUUCCUACAUCGAUGAAGAACGUAGCAAACUGCGAUACGUAAUGCGAAUUGCAGCUCUCGUGAAUCAUUGAAUUUUUGAACGCAAGUUGCGCUCGCGGUAACCCCGUGACGAUGUCUGUUUGAGUGUC